CAUGCCCAGGAUCUGAACCUGUGAACCCCGCGUGCUGCUGAAGCGGAGUGCACGAAUUUAACCACUACACCACUGCGCCGGACCCCAGUAAAUGCUAUUCUUGAUAACGACUUUCCUCCUCUCUCAUCUAUACACUAAGAACAAUUGUAUCUCUCGUACUGCAGUUGGCAAACUCUUGUAUUUAUUAUAAAUAAAAAUUUACAAAUCUUCUACUUCCUAAAUUCUAAACUCCUUGCAGGCAGGGUCUGUCCCUUCAACAUCUCUGUAUUUCCAAUAGGGUUUUGUAGGUGACUUAUGCUCAGCUAUUGGUUGAACUCAUCCAGGCUCAUAGUUCCUUGACAGCUUUGAGAAUGUCUCCUUCUUUUGGUGCCUCUGGCAUCUAUAAACACUCAAUAAAUAUUGAUUUAAUUUGCAUUCAAAUGAUAUCUUAAUAUCACAAGAAUUCACCUUGUUGUUGAAUUCCCACAUUCAAAACCUAAGCUUAUAAUAGAUGCUCUUUACAAAGGCUUAUUCAUGUAACAAUUUUAACUUCUGGUAUUUUUGUGUCGUAUAUAACGUCAACAAUUGAGCAAGCAGAUGGUCUGUUCCUUUUUGAAAGGGAGCAACGUGAAAUAGGAGAAUUGUUGCUCAGGCCGGAUGAUUAUUCCCGAAACAGAACUGGUAGAAUUAUCCCCUGCUCUCUAAUCACCUUUUCUAUCUUGCUUCUGUGUAAUUUCCUCUGUUUUUCAGAAGAAUUAGAACUUGAGGACACUGGAGCCCACCGCCUCUAGGCUUGAUACGAGCUGCAAACAUGAUGAGGGAGGGAGGAAAUGAAUGUUUUCUAUGGUACAAGCAAGAACUCAGUUAGUCUGCUGUGUUUGCUAAGAGAAAUACUCCAUGAGCAAAGUGAAGAUAAUAUUUGAUGCCAUAUUUUUUCCUUCAUUUUCCAAUAUUAUAUCAUCAGUUUGUCCCCCUUGCUUUGGAUACAUGAAGACGCUACUUGAGAUAAAAGGUAAUCUUGAAAUUGAAAUUUGAUGAUUUCGCUUCAGAACUUUAAGCAGCAAAAUUUGGGGUGAAAGGUAUGCAUAAGAGUAAAAGUAUAUUUUUAUAUACCCAUAAAAUAUAUACUAAAAAGCUUGAUCUAAAAUUGAGAUACAAAUAUAGGAAACUGCUGUUGUAGCAAAUAUUUAUUGAGACUUCACCGUAUGUACUACUUGUCACUUUGAAACAUUCAGAAUUCAGUGGGUUUGUUGUUGCUUUUUGGUUAUGAAUUUGGUAUUAUCCCUUUUUCACAAUCUUGAGAAAUUCACCUUACCAUAUGUUUUUCGUAAGAAUUGAAAUGACCAGCAAAAUUGCUGACACCAAAGUUUAAUUUACUAGAUUUAUUUUCUCCCCUGGCUAUUUAGUAGUAAAGGAUAGCCAUUAUAUUUCGGAAUAAAAAAACAAAGUAUUCGCAUCUUUUUUAAAUAGACGAAGUUGUUAUAGGAUAUUAAUCACAUUUAAAGUCUUUACUUUCUUUCUGGCUAGGAUGAGUUUUUUUUUUUCCCCUGUCCUUUAAUAUUGAUAUGAUGUAGGAAAAUAAUAACCCAUUUACCAAGGAAAGAAAGCUUAUCCAGAUGUAGCUGUGUUUUUUACAUUUAACAGCUCUUGUUAUAUUUAAAGACUUUAUUACUUAUUGUCCUUACACAAGAACUGGAAAAUGCUCUUUAUUUCGAAAGGCAAUCCAUUGGUUGGAGCUUGGGCUUUGAAGACCGAAGAGUGGAUUCAAAUUGUGAUUCUGCCAAUGAGUACCUGAGUCUUACCGAGAGUUCCUUAGACUUUCUAAGUUGCAAUUUUAUUUUCCACCUAGUAGAAAUAGCACCUAUUUUUGCAUAAUUACUAAAGGAUUUUCAGACACAGGAUUUGACAUGUUGUAAUUGAGCAACAGAUAUAGCUAUUAAUUUAUUAUAUGAGCUGUGAGAAGCAGUGGGAGGAGUUGAUGGGGCGGUGAUGGUGGGAAGAAGAUUCUUAAGACCUCAGAUUAUUCACUUUGCUGUAACAUGACAAUCCAGGAAAGGAACAAAGGGACUCCACAUUCUCCCUUAGAUAUCUAAUAAUUCAAAAAACACCAUGCUCAAUUCAGCUAUAAGCUUGGACUCUUUAUAGAGUUUUGUUUGAAUAGUGCGAUCGGUUCAGUGUGAUCCAUUGCUUGGGUUUAACCUGGGUCCUCUGAUUUUUCCCGUAACCCUUUCAGACUUUCAUUUCUUGUUGCACAGAUGGUGAGAAAAUAUGUUUAGUAGCUGGGCAGGUAAACCAAUCCUAUUUUGCAUGAGCAGUCCCCCUCUUGUGUAAAGAAGUAGUUUCCAUUCUUCAAAUGGAAAACGUUCCAAUUUCAAAUUCUUUAGGAAUAGGUGAAAAGGUCCUAUUCAGUAAAUGGUUAAUUUAGACCUAUAUUUUUUCUCCUCCAGUUUCUGCCAUAAUUUGGCUUGUCUUUUUCCGACAUAAGAUCUGUUAGACUAGUACAGGUUUCAUCACAGAAGUAAAUAACAGCAUGUUUCCUUGGGAGCAAUCGAACAACAGAAUAAAACAGUGCUUACUGUUUUUUGAAAGUUGUGUCAGAUUGUCAUGGUAAUACAGAGUUGCAUCAUGUUGUCAUAGCAACCAGAAUUAUAAAACGGAUUUAAAGAGGUUGAAGAGAUACCCUUUGGUGUUGUGAUUCCUUUAACUUUAAAGAUUUCUUUCCUCCUCUACUUCUGUUUAUUUCAUUUUGCUUCCUUUUUGUAAAAUGUGGAAGGGGGAGCAUGGCUAGAGGGAAUAAUGGGAAUCCAUACUUCUUCCCAAUUGAAGAGUUGCAGCAAAAUGCGUGAGUCCUCACAUUCUCUUUGAGCCAGGUAGAAUUCAGGGGCUGGAACACGGAAUCAGAUACACUGCUGUGUCAAGCCAUCCCAAUCUCGAGCAGGAGGAAGUUCCACUCCGAGUGGGUUGAAAAGUAUGAAUUCUCCAGUCAUCUUGAAUGAGAAGGAAAAAUCUAGUCUCUGAAAGAUUCGAGAGGAGCUCUUUUAAAAAUGGCCAGUUUACUGGUUAGUUGUCUUACUUAUACAAAAACUAAAGAUAAUCGAUUGAUCACCAUGACCCUACCCCCACACAUACACAAUGGCAAUAAAAAAUGAAUAAUACCAAUGUUUUUAAAAAGUUGAGAAAACCAUGCUUCGUAAUGCUCUGUAUGAAUGGCUCUGAGUGAAUUGCCUUAGCUCUGUGCCUUGUUCUUAGGACUAGGAAAGAGACUAGCUACUGGCUACAUUUUGACCUUUAGAGAUGGCUUUAGAAUCUCUGCUCACACUUUAUUUCUCUGUUACUAUUCAGAUGUAGGUCUUUGAUUUGUUUCAGUUGUCAUUCUUUAGUUAUUAUUGAACCAUGGCAGCUAUUACAACUUGUAUUAUUUUUUAUGAGAAAAAAAUGAUGUUAAUUGAUAAUCACUUGGCCAGUCUCAGUUAAGUGUAGGGUAUCGUCUCAUAGAUUUACCAUAGUGAAAUUUAUGUUGGAUUGCUGCAGAGGAUGUUGUCAGCCAUAGCUUAGUGUGUCCUGAAAGGGCUAAAGUGUGUCCUUUGUUAACUAAUAUUACCAGAACCUGAAGUUAAGCAUUAGGAAUAGUCUCCUUUAUUGUGUAUGUCAUUUUCACUACUUAUUUUUUGAGCCAUUUAUGAUGGUGGACCAGAUUGUCUCAAUAUAUGAGUGAUUAGGAAGUUGUAGAAACUGAGAACAGUAGCACAGGUUUUCAUUAAUACUGAAACUUGAGAUGUUCCUUUGCAAAUUUCAGUUUAUAUAAGCUGGUUAAUUCUUUAUUGGAUUUAUCCUAAAGAAAUAAUUUUCAAACUCUUUUUUUAGCAACAGUCAUUUGUGUCAAAGCCAUGGCUAUACUUGGGUUAUAAAGAUUUCUUAAUAUGUGCCAGGGCAGUAUUUCUCAAUCUUUUUAGUGCAUGCCCUGCUUUGAUAAAUAUGAAAACUUCACCCACUCCAUCGGUUGACUGUCCAUCCAUAUUCCAAUUGAGAACCACUAUUCCUGAUAGUUAAUAAAUAUCAGAAAACACAUAUAAUUCCAUUCUUCUUGACUUUAGAUUUAACAUUAACGUCUCCCAAUAUGCUUCCUUUGUUUAAUUAUGAAUGAGAUACAUUCAUCCAUUCAGAAAAUUUAUUGGAGCCCCAGCAACUGCCUAUGCUCCAGGCAUUACACCUGGCCCUGGGAAUACCGCAGUAAAAGGGGGCCUAUCUUGGAAAGUAAAAACUUAGACACGUAAUUACAAUAAAUGCAGUAAGGUGAUGAUAGAGAAAGGGCCAUAUGUUGUACCAUUAUGUUUCCCACAUUGUUACCUUAUGUCUAAUAGUUUCCCCAAAAUACUUGCUGAGAGAAUGAUGAAUGAAAUCACUAUUUUCUCUGAGUAGUACAUAAGGUAUAUAAAUAGUUAAAAUGAUUUGUAUAGUACUUUGUGAUUUCCAAAGUGUAACAUUGCUCGUAUUCUAUAUUCCUCUCAUGGAGAAAUCUUCACAGAUGUCAGUUGAGCACAGUAAGUAAUGAGGAGGCCUAAUAAGUUAAUAAAUGUAUCUUACAUAUGCAGAUUUUCUUAAGUAGGUAUGCCUGAGCAAAUCAUUGGAUUAAUCCCAGUAUUAUUUCAUGGGCAAAUGAAGUAAUGGUGUUUCCUUUAUGGUAUACCCUUACCAAUGAUUGAGAAAGUGGUAUGGCUAGUAGUCGUUAGUGCAUCCCUAAAAAGAGCAAUUAAUAAUAAUAUUAGCUUAUGCUUACAUGGUAGUUACUAUGUGCUUUGCUCCAUUCUAAGCACUGUAGGUGUUUUAGCUUAUUUAUUCCUAACAACCCUGAGAGGCAGUUACUAUUAUGAUGUCCAUUUUAUCAAUGAGGAAACAGGCACAGAGAAGUUUGUUUCUGGUUUAUUUUCAGGUUCCCUCUUCCUUUCAUUGACAUUACCUUCUUCAGUCUCUCUUGCACAAAAAUUCAGAAUUGUGCUUGACUCUCCUGUCUGUUUUCCCUUCCACACCUCUCUCACCAAUCAUCUUUCUGGCUUAAUUCAUUCAACAAUGCUAGGCUUUGAGACAAGUAAUAUAAACUUAGCGCUUUGUGGAAUUAUAUUAUUAGUUGCUUGUUUACUUUGUGCUUUCUCCCAGAAGGAAAGCUCCUUAAAGGCAUAUCAUUUGCCUUGCUCUCUGCUGUAUCUCUAGCACCUGCAGUAAUGCCUGGAGCAUAGGUGGUACCCAAUGAACACUUCUUACAUGAAUGAAACACAAAGAUACCACCACCCUCUAAGGUAGAUACAAACAUGUAACAGUGUGAUGAGCAGGACAAUUUUGUCUGGUCUUCCUUCAAAUGUGUCAUGGCUAAUUCCUUCUUUUUCAGUCGCACUGCUCAUAAGGAGCCUUUUUUCUUCUCUCUUGACUUGUUGCCUCUUGUCUACUACCUGGACUUCCUGUUCUCUAUCUUUCUUCUCUCCCAUCCAUCCAGUCCUUUCUUCCAGGAUGAUCUUCCCAAGUCAUAUCAUGUCCUAGCUCAAAAUUGGGUUGUCAGUGAGAUAUUUCCUAUGUCUGUGCCUUGUUCCCUCAACUCCACAGUAAACUCUGGCAGGGAUUGUGGCAAAGUUCCUUACUAUUCUCCCACAGAAUGGCUAUAUAUGGUAUUGAUCACAUGAAUUGACAGUAUAUAGUAAAUACAUUGACUCCAUAUGGGAUGAUUCAGGAAGUGUGGGACACAUUAAAAAACUGAAGAAGCAUAUUAGUUGCCUGUUGCUGAAUAACAAAUUACCACAAAUUUAGCAGUUUGAAAUAACAUGAGUUUAGUCCCUCAUAGUUCUGUAGGUCAGGAGACUGGGCACCAGCUGACUGGAUACUCUGCGUAGGGUCUCACUGGGUGAAACUGAGGUGUCAGCCAGGGCUGUGGUUCAUACCUGGACUCAGAGUCCUCCUCUGAGCUCACUAGUCAUUGACAGAAUUCACUUCCUUGCAGCGAUAGGACUGAGCUCCCUAUUUUCCUUCUGGCUCCUGGCCAGGGACCACACUCAUUUCCCAUUGGCAGUUCCUUGCCAUGUAGCCCCCAUAGAUGUUUGGUUUCUUCUAGGCCGGAUGGGGUACAUCUCUCUUCCUCUUCUGAGACCAGCCAGGGAAAACUCUUUGCGUUUAUAGGACUCAUGUGAUUAGGUCAGGCCCACCUGGAUAGUUUCUCUAUCAUAAGGUCAACUGACUUGGGACUUUACUUACAUCUACAAAAUCCCUCAUAGCAGUACCAGGAUCUAGCGUUACUGAAUGAGCGGAGAAGGGACACCAGGGGCCAGGAAUCUGGGAGGGCACCUUAGCAUUCUGCCUGCUCCAAGGAGUUACAGAUUCUGUGGUCUUAAAAGGAAAUUUACUUCUAAAGGUGAUGCUUCAGGACAAGUGUACAAGAUUGCUGGUAUAGUCUUUACUCAACCAAUAUUUCUGGAAGCUCUCUUGAAAUUCAUCAAGCACUACUCUAGCAGUGUUUGCAUGCUCCAUCGGUGAGAUAAAAUUGGACAACUAAUUUAGCAUCUUCCCUCAAAUACCAAAUUUUGAUGACGGCAUUGUAGAAGGUGUUAUUUCUGGGAGAAGUAAUAAAUUUGUAAAGCUAUUUUAGUUAAGCUCAAUCGUUGAAGUGUUCUCAAGAAAAAUACUUUUAUAUUAUGUUAAAAGCAAGUAACAAACUCCAAUGUGGAAGCAACACUCUAAAGAACUGAAAGGAAGCAGGGCAAGGAUUUAGGAAAACUGACUUCUAGUCCCUGUUUUGUUCUUGUGGGGCAGUAUUUGAGAUGUCUUCAACAUCUCGGUACUAUAGAUAUUUCUUUUAUCCUGGGGAUAUGGUAUUUGACUUGCUCCUCUCAGGUUAGUGUUAGGAGACUAAAAUUUGCAAAUCUCUAUGAAAUAUUGACUAUUCUAACUUACUGAAUCUUUAAAUAUUGAGUCUUAGAUAUUUAAAAUGAAUACGGGGUAGUCAUGUCAUGAUACUGUGUUCACCUAUGUUUUCUCUGCCAGAACCUUAUUUUAGGCCUAAGCCAAUGAAAACAUAUGGCAUUAUUAGUAGUGUUAAAGAUGGAAGGAAUGCUUAGAUUUUCUAGUUGGGAGAUGGUCUGCCUUAUUUGGAGAUACUAUAGAUGCUGGUUUAUUUUAAUGAAAAAAGAUGCUUUCACUAGUUCUAAAAUACUUAUGAUGUUCUCAUUCCAUUCUGUAAGAAGAAUAGAACUAUUUUUUUUUCCCAGAGUUGUUGUAUUACAGUGAUUAAAGGGGAAAAACAUAUAUAUUUUACAAAGCAACUAUGAGUCAAACACACUUUUCCAUGAGAGUACAUUUAGAACCAGGAAAUAUCGCUUCUUGUUUUCGGUAGUUUCCUGUCUAAAGAAAAUCCAGUUUAUGUCACUUACCUGCCUUUCAAACCAUCACUCAUUUUAGAGACUACUGUGAGCUGAUUACAGUGUAAUUUCUUUGCUGUGUUAAGUUAUAUGUAUGAAAUUUGCAACCUAAUGUGUAUCUGUACCUCUAGAUGGCUGACAAUCUUAGAAAAGAGGUAGGUAGUGCCUUUUCACAUAUCCUUACAUUUAUGCAUCUACAAAGGUUUGGGAAUCAGACCAGAAUUUGAAUUUUGACUCUGCUGCUUACUAGCUGUGUGAGCUUCGGCAAGUUACUUAACCUCUCUGAGCUUAAAUCUCAUCUGUAAAAUGGAGAUGAAUAUUUCUUCAUCAUGGGAUACCUAGAAUUAAAUAAAAAGGCAUAAGUGCCUAACCUGAUGUCUAGGACAUUCUAAUGACCAAUACUUAUCGUUUUCUACCUCUCCUCUUUUAUAGUCCUGAUCACAUAUCUGUUUUGAUAGUAAUCUCCUUAUUCAUUAGCAAACAGUUACCGAAUUUUUGUUCUGUGCUAGAAUCUGUGUCAGGUGCUGAAAAUACAAGGAUGAAUAAGACAUGGCCCUUGCCCACAAAGAGGGCAAGACCAACUUAUAGGAAA